rnacentral:rRNA from 1 species
AUUGAACGCUGGCGGCAGGCCUAACACAUGCAAGUCGAACGGUAACAGGAAACAGCUUGCUGUUUCGCUGACGAGUGGCGGACGGGUGAGUAAUGUCUGGGAAACUGCCUGAUGGCGGGGGAUAACUACUGGAAACGGUAGCUAAUACCGCAUAACGUCGCAAGACCAAAGAGGGGGACCUUCGGGCCUCUUGCCAUCGGAUGUGCCCAGAUGGGAUUAGCUAGUAGGUGGGGUAACGGCUCACCUAGGCGACGAUCCCUAGCUGGUCUGAGAGGAUGACCAGCCACACUGGAACUGAGACACGGUCCAGACUCCUACGGGAGGCAGCAGUGGGGAAUAUUGCACAAUGGGCGCAAGCCUGAUGCAGCCAUGCCGCGUGUAUGAAGAAGGCCUUCGGGUUGUAAAGUACUUUCAGCGGGGAGGAAGGGAGUAAAGUUAAUACCUUUACUCAUUGACGUUACCCGCAGAAGAAGCACCGGCUAACUCCGUG